rnacentral:sRNA from 1 species
UUCAAUCUGUUGAGGGCAGAUAAAAUGAAUGUGGGUAUCGAUACCCCCCGCCGUCAAAAUCGACCCCUCCCCGGCGAUAAUUUCGGUGCCUGGGCCGAUAAUUAUAUCGACGUUAUCUUGAAUAUAAGGAUUUCCGGCUUUGCCGACUUUGUAAAUCUUGCCAUCCUUAAUGCCGACAUCAGCUUUGACGAUGCCCCACCAAUCCAGAAUCACGGCAUUGGUAAUCACCAAAUCUACUGCACCAUCAGCAUUAGAAAUCGGCGAUUGUCCCAUUCCAUCCCGAA